UACGUAGGGUGCGAGCGUUAAUCGGAAUUACUGGGCGUAAAGCGUGCGCAGGCGGUUCUCCAAGUCCGUUGUGAAAGCCCCGGGCUCAACCUGGGAAUGGCAGUGGAAACUAGGGGACUGGAAUCUGGCAGAGGGGGGUGGAAUGCCGCGUGUAGCAGUGAAAUGCGUAGAGAUGUGGAGGAACACCGAUGGCGAAGGCAGCCCCCUGGGCCAAUACUGACGCUCAUGCACGAAAGCGUGGGGAGCAAACAGG
rnacentral:rRNA from 1 species